rnacentral:rRNA from 1 species
GACGAACGCUGGCGGCGGGCUUAACACAUGCCAGUCGAACGGAAAGGCCCUGCUUGUGUGGGGUUCUCGAGUGGCGAACGGGUGAGUAACACGUGAGUAACCUGCCCUUGACUUUGGGAUAACUUCAGGAAACUGGGGCUAAUACCGGAUAGGAUCUCCUGCUGCAUGGUGGGGGUUGGAAAUUUUCUGCUUGUGGGGAUGGACUCGCGGCUUAUCAGCUUGUUGGUGGGGUAGUGGCUUACCAAGGCUUUGACGGGUAGCCCGCCUGAGAGGGUGACCGGGCACAUUGGGACUGAGAUACGGCCCAGACUCGUAUGGGGGGCAGCAGUGGGAAAUAUUGUACAAUGGGAGGACGCCUGAUGAAGAAACGCCGCGUGCGGGAUGACGGCCUUCGGGUUGUAAACAGCUUUAGCCUGUGACGAAGCGUGAGUGACGGUAAUGAGUAAAGAAGCACCGGCUAACUACGUG